GAAAUGCGAUAAGUAAUGUGAAUUGCAGAAUUCAGUGAAUCAUCGAAUCUUUGAACGCACCUUGCGCUCCUUGGUAUUCCUUGGAGCAUGCCUGUUUGAGUAUCAUGAAAUCUUCAAAGUAAAUCUUUUGUUAACUCAAUUGGUUUCUACUUUGGUAUUGGAGGUCUUUGCAGCUUCACACCUGCUCCUCUUUGUUCAUUAGCUGGAUCUCAGUGUUAUGCUUGGUUCCACUCGGCGUGAUAAGUUAUCUAUCGCUGAGGACACUGUAAAAGGUGGCCAAGGUAAAUGCAGAUGAACCGCUUCUAAUAGUCCAUUGACUUGGAAAAUACUUUUAUGAUCUGAUCUCAAAUCAGGUAGGACUACCCGCUGAACUUAAGC
rnacentral:misc_RNA from 1 species